rfam:Flavobacterium enshiense DK69 contig1, whole genome shotgun sequence.
AACAGGGUAGCCGAAAACUGUAAAGAGUAGGCG